UACGAAGGGGGCUAGCGUUGCUCGGAAUUACUGGGCGUAAAGCGCACGUAGGCGGAUUGUUAAGUCGGGGGUGAAAUCCUGGAGCUCAACUCCAGAACUGCCUUCGAAACUGGCGAUCUUGAGUCCGGGAGAGGUGAGUGGAACUGCGAGUGUAGAGGUGAAAUUCGUAGAUAUUCGCAAGAACACCAGUGGCGAAGGCGGCUCACUGGCCCGGUACUGGACGCUGAGGUGCGAAAGCGUGGGGAG
rnacentral:rRNA from 1 species